rnacentral:rRNA from 1 species
ACAGGGGGGGUAAGCGUUGUUCGGAAUUACUGGGCGUAAAGGGUUCGUAGGUGGCUUGCUAAGUCUGACGUGAAAUCCCUCAGCUUAACUGGGGAACUGCGUCCGAUACUGGAUGGCUUGAGUUCGGGAGAGGGAUGCGGAAUUCCAGGUGUAGCGGUGAAAUGCGUAGAUAUCUGGAGGAACACCGGUGGCGAAGGCGGCAUCCUGGACCGACACUGACGCUGAGGAGCGAAAGCCAGGGGAGCAAACGGGA